UACGAAGGGUGCAAGCGUGACUCGGAAUUACUGGGCGUAAAGCGUGCGUAGGUGGUUUGUUAAGUCUGAUGUGAAAGCCCUGGGCUCAACCUGGGAAUUGCAUUGGAUACUGGCAGGCUAGAGUGCGGUAGAGGAUGGCGGAAUUCCCGGUGUAGCAGUGAAAUGCGUAGAGAUCGGGAGGAACAUCUGUGGCGAAGGCGGCCAUCUGGACCAGCACUGACACUGAGGCACGAAAGCGUGGGGAGCAAACAGG
rnacentral:rRNA from 1 species